rnacentral:misc_RNA from 1 species
GUGAAUCAUCAAAUCUUUGAACGCAAAUUGCACUCCCUUCGGAGAGUAUGACUGUUUGAGGGUCAGUAUUAAUAAAAAUCGGUGUUGUUGCUGCCUCUCGUGGUGACGCGGCGGAAUUGGGUCGUGUUACUUUGGGUUAAGUGACUUAAAAUUUCUGUAUGAUUUUCGAACGUAUUUAAAUUUUUUACGUACGUUUGAGAUAUCGAAUACUUUAUCAGGUUCGGUUAUCCUCUUGAUUCG